UCCUAUGUUGCAUGCCUAACGUGAUGGAAAUUGGCCCCGGAUGAGUCCUAAGUUUUGCCUCUCACCGAUUCGUGGUGUUAGGUUGACGUGGAAGUACUGCCCAUUCUCCUUGAUUGCUUUGCCCUUUUUGCGUUGCAAUCGUGGCUCAUGGGCUGCUACUAGUUUCCUCGGAUGCAGAACCUUUGAGGGGUGCACAGUAUGUUGCUGUUGUUUACCCCCAAGGCAUUCAUCGAUCGAUGCGUACGACGGUUGCGCCCCGUUUUGGUCCCCUCUCCAAAUUGUUUNGAUGGGUCUCAUGCGGUGCCGGCGUCGCGAARGAAUGCUACCUGGU
rnacentral:misc_RNA from 1 species